rnacentral:rRNA from 1 species
AACGAACGCUGGCGGCAGGCCUAACACAUGCAAGUCGAACGCCGUAGCAAUACGGAGUGGCAGACGGGUGCGUAACACGUGGGAACAUACCCUUUGGUUCGGAAUAACUCAGGGAAACUUGAGCUAAUACCGGAUAAGCCCUUACGGGGAAAGAUUUAUCGCCAAAGGAUUGGCCCGCGUCUGAUUAGCUAGUUGGUGAGGUAACGGCUCACCAAGGCGACGAUCAGUAGCUGGUCUGAGAGGAUGAUCAGCCACACUGGGACUGAGACACGGCCCAGACUCCUACGGGAGGCAGCAGUGGGGAAUAUUGGGACAAUGGGCGCAAGCCUGAUCCAGCCAUGCCGCGUGAGUGAUGAAGGCCUUAGGGUUGUAAAGCUCUUUUACCCGGGAAGAUAAUGACGGUACCGGGAGAAUAAAGCCCCGGCUAACUUCGUGCCAGCAGCCGCAGUAAU